UGUCCGCCACCGUAUGAUCCAUUGCGGUAUCGUAGGUUAGCCGAUCCGACACAUCGGCGUAUUAUGUGCUAACAUAUACCGCAUGAUUAAUCAGUAAUUACAUUGUCAUCGCGUGCUCGACGUCUGUAGCCGUUGAUCGUUCCAAGGCGUGUCUGCAACGUUCACGCUUUAAUUUAUCAGAGGACCUGAUCCGUCACAUAUAUCAUCGUAAUGGCAGCGAAAGCGGCGAAGAGAGCACCGCGGAAAAAAGGCGGCUAUCAAAUGCCCGAGGCGAUACCGCUUGGAGAAGUUCUCACGGAUAUAUCGAAGAAACAAUGGAUUCUUGGCAAGUCAAUCGGCGUCGGCGGUUUCGGCGAGGUUUACUCUGCGGCAUCGUAUUCCGGAAAUAUUCCAAAAGAUUAUCCCAAUGUUAUAAAAAUUGAACCGCAUGGAAAUGGCCCAUUAUUUGUAGAAAUGCAUUUCUAUAUGAGGAAUUGCAAGCCAAAUGAGAUUGAUAGUUGGCGAAGAAAAAAGAAACUUGCGGCACUUGGAAUGCCCAAAUAUGUUGCUUCUGGAAGUCAUGAGUAUAAAAAUACAAAGUAUCGAUUUUUAGUAAUAGAUCGAUACGGGACAGACUUGUGGAAAAUUUUUGAGGCUAAUAAUAGGCAAUUCCCAGAGCACACAGUAUAUAAACUAGCUUUACAAAUAAUAGAUAUAUUAGAGUACAUUCACCACAAAACUUAUGUGCACGCUGAUAUUAAAGGUGAAAACUUGUUACUGGAUUUAAAAACCUUCGAUCAAGUUUAUUUAGUGGACUUUGGUUUAGCCUCUCACUGUACAACAAGUACCGAAUUAAAAGUUGAUCCAAAAAAAGCACACAAUGGAACUUUACAAUACACAAGUAGAGAUGCCCAUAUGGGAGUGCCAACACAGCGUGGUGAUAUUGAAAUUUUAUGUUACAAUAUGAUUCUUUGGUUGUGUGGCUCACUUCCAUGGGAAAAAUUAGUCGAUAAAGUUAUCGUUCAGAAAGAGAAAGAAAAAGCUUUCGAAAACAUUGAUAGUUUCCUGAACAAAUGUUUCCAUGGAUCAACUCCACAAGCUAUGCAAAAAUGUAUGACUUUAUUAAGCAAUAUGAAGUUUAACGAAACACCGUGUUAUGAAAAAUUUAAAGAUACGUUAAUAGCUGGGUUGAAGAAACUAAAUCAUAAACCAGAUGGAAAGUUAGGAUUGAAAACCACGCCUGCUCAACAGAAUUCUGUUAAAUCUACGCCACAAAAAGUAAGGAAACUAGAUCAAGUCAGACAAAGUCCGCGUUCGAAACAUGUAGCCGCCCCAAGUAAUUCUUUAAGAAAUAAUCAAAGAGAAAGCACUAUAGGUAUUGUGAUUGAUAAAAAACGCGGUAAUAAGAAAGAUAUUAAGAAGGUAUUAGAAGAUAUAGAUCCUGAUGGUGAAUAUGAUAUUAAAAUUGUUCAAAAAACGAAAAAAUCCGAGUCCGAUGACGAAGUGCCUGAAGCAACGAAGAAAGCGACCUUGUUGAGCAGUAGAAAGAAAAUGCGAGUCAAUUAUGUUGAUGAUGAUUCGGAAAAUGAUUCAAUGGAGCCGUUGAUGAAGCGUCCAAAUAAAAUGCGACAGAAGAAACCAGCUACGAGUAAAACGAGGCGGAAAGUCAUUUCUCUGGAUGAUUCAACAACCGUUUCUGAGCCUGAGCCCGAGAUUGUAUCAAAAGGAACGAGAUCAAGACCGGCUACUACUGUUGGGAGGAAAGUAACUGCCAAAAAGAAUAUGUUACAGUUCAAUAAACCAACAUUGUUUGAAACUGAGUCGGAGGAGGAUAUAUUCGAUAUGUAGUUCCUCGAGUUGAGACAGUGACCAAGUACAUAAAAUAGUUGUGAGAAAUGUACUAUAAAAGAUAUCCCCGAAACUACGUAUCUUAUAUAUAUACUUUUCUUGCACUAUAUUAACACUAUGCCGUCCGGGGACACCACGUUGGUGUCCCGCGAAAACGAUCGUGCAAAGGCCGGCGACACCACGUUGGUGUUGUGCGCAAAACUAUCGCAGAAAGGCCGGCGACAUCACGUUGGUGUCGUGCGCAAAACUAUCGUGCAAAGGCCAGCGACAGCAUUGUGGUACCGUUUGUAUUCUGAUUGUGUACUGUUGGUGUUCUGUUUGUGUUCUGUUUAAGUAACAAUAAGUUACAGACAUCAUGAUUCGAUCGACAGACUUUCCGGUCAGCUAAAGCAACACCAGCUGAUACAAAUUUCCGAAACCGACAAACGAAAACGAAGAAAGUGCCAUGUAUGUUCCAAAAACAAAAAAAGAAGGACAACAAAUUUAAUGGGUAAUUCUUGUAGAGUCGUGUUACUCCUCGGAGAUUGUUUUGCUUCAUAUCAUCUAAAAGAGAA